rnacentral:rRNA from 1 species
UGGGGAAUUUGGACAAUGGGCGAAGCCUGAUCCAGCAAUGCCGCGUGUGUGAAGAAGGCCUUCGGGUUGUAAAGCACUUUUGUCCGGAAAGAAAUCCUUGGCUCUAAUACAGUCGGGGGAUGACGGUACCGGAAGAAUAAGCACCGGCUAACUACGUGCCAGCAGCCGCGGUAAUACGUAGGGUGCAAGCGUUAAUCGGAAUUACUGGGCGUAAAGCGUGCGCAGGCGGUUUGCUAAGACCGAUGUGAAAUCCCCGGGCUCAACCUGGGAACUGCAUUGGUGACUGGCAGGCUAGAGUAUGGCAGAGGGGGGUAGAAUUCCACGUGUAGCAGUGAAAUGCGUAGAGAUGUGGAGGAAUACCGAUGGCGAAGGCAGCCCCCUGGGCCAAUACUGACGCUCAUGCACGAAAGCGUGGGGAGCAAACAGGAUUAGAUACCCUGGUAGUCCACGCCCUAAACGAUGUC